UACGUAGGGUGCGAGCGUUAAUCGGAAUGACUGGGCGUAAAGGGUGCGUAGGCGGUUUGCUAAGACGGAUGUGAAAUCCCUGGGCUCAACCUAGGAACAGCAUACGUGACUGGCAGGCUAGAGUAUCGAAGAGGGGGGUAGAAUUCCACGUGUAGCAGUGAAAUGCGUAGAGAUGUGGAGGAAUACCGAUGGCGAAGGCAGCGCCCUGGUCAGAUACUGACGCUGAGGCACGAAAGCGUGGGGAGCAAACAGG
rnacentral:rRNA from 1 species